rnacentral:rRNA from 1 species
UACGUAGGGGGCAAGCGUUGUCCGGAAUCAUUGGGCGUAAAGAGCGCGUAGGCGGCCCUGUAAGUCCGCUGUGAAAGUCAAGGGCUCAACCCUUGAAUGCCGGUGGAUACUGCAGGGCUAGAGUCCGGAAGAGGCGAGUGGAAUUCCUGGUGUAGCGGUGAAAUGCGCAGAUAUCAGGAGGAACACCGGUGGCGAAGGCGACCAACUGGACGAACACUGACGCUAAGACUCGAAAGCGUGGGGAGCAAACAGG